GUAGAACGUGGGAUGUGUGGGAGGUGUAUCACGGGGAGGAGGAUCGGAUUGAGAUUUGCAGGGAAGGAUCAGUCCGUACCGGAUCGGCAGCAGAUCGCGCAUUCGCAGGAGCAGGCGCCACGUCGUAGGAGGGCUGAUCCCUUCCCGGCGAGCAACUCCAUGAGCGCCGCCUCCGCCUCCGCCGCCGCCGCUGCCCCCUAUAGAUCCGGUUGGUUCGCCUGAAACCGCAGCCAUGAGCUCGACGAGCAAAGUACGGAUAGCGUCCAGGAGGAGUAGAGGGAGGGCGGUUUGCCGAAGCGGUCGGGGUAGGAGACGCCGAACUCGAGGGCGAGCGCGGACCGCCGCGGCAGAAGGGGCGGCGCUGCACGCCGGCGACGGCGAGCGCCGACCGCCACAGGAGCGGGUGGCGAUCUCGUGAGGCCCAAGAACAGAAUUGGAUAUUACGUGUACGUGCGGCCCAAUUUUGUUGGGCCGGGACGAAAUUACGUGCUUCCAUGCUAGUUGGGCCGUCAGCCGAGACCUUUCUUGUGGCCCAAUAACGGAAUUGUGAGUUACAUGCAGCCGAUUUUACCUACCGACUGGAAAUUUCGACAUGCGUCAGGCCGAUUUAUGUUGAUGGAAAUUACGACAUACUCCUACACCGUUGACUUUUUAGCAUAUAUUUGACUGUUCGUCUUAUUC
rnacentral:sRNA from 1 species